AAAAUCAGCCACCACCUCUGCCGCGGAUACCACCACCACCACAACCACAACCACCACCGUAGUAGAUUUGAAAUCCCUAAUCCACGACCACAGACUCUUCUUCGACAAGUUAAUCGACCUAAUUCCACCUAGAUUUUACCUCCCUAAAGAAGACGCCCCCUGGUACGGAGGGCUCUCCAAAGCCGCCAAAGCCUCCGCCAAGAGAAAAUCCAAAGAGAACCUCAAACUCGCUCGUCGCAACCGCCUUGAUCCUGACAAAAAAGAUCAAACCUCCACCCUCGGCCUCCUCGAACAAUCCCUUCAGAAACAACAACAAACUGACGCCAAAGCAAAUCCCGACGAAGAAUAUCAUGCGAAACCUACGCCCAUUAAUUUGGAGGAUAACGAUAGUAACCCUAAUAACGAUAACUCCUCCGUAACUUUCGAGGGGCUGAGACAAAAGCUACGCAGAAAGAUCGAAAUGCUCCGUGGUAACCGCGGUGAUUAAACAACAACAAAAUGACGCCAAAGCAAAUCCCGACGAAGAAGAUCAUGCUAAACCCACACCCAUUAAUUUGGAGGAUAGCGAUAGUAACCCUAAUAACAAUAACUCCUCCGUAACUUUCGAGGGGCUAAGACAAAAGUUACGCAGAAAGAUCGAAAUGCUCC
rnacentral:lncRNA from 1 species